rnacentral:lncRNA from 1 species
AAAACACAAAAUUAGGAAGAUUUCGAUCAAACCCAACGAAGAGUCAUCGCCUGCAAGUAAUCAAGAAGAGAGAGAGAGAGAAUCAAAGAAAUGAGCAAACGAGUCAAACUCGAAGAGAGAGAGAGAGAGAUCUAAGCUUUUAGAUGACUACUUCGUCGAAGGUUUCGUGAGUUUUAACACCGAUAAGAUCCUAUGGGGACAAGCUGAUUCACUUGUCUUAAUGAAAUUGAAAUCUAAAGAAACCAUUUUUAUUUUUAUUUCACUAUAUGAAGAGAUAGGGAAGAUGAAGCGAAGCUAUUACAUUACAC